UACGAAGGGUGCAAACGUUGCUCGGAAUUAUUGGGCGUAAAGCGCACGUAGGCGGCUUUGCAAGUCGGAUGUGAAAUCCCUCGGCUUAACCAAGGAAGUGCAUCCGAAACUGCAGAGCUUGAGUACUUAAGAGGAUCGCGGAAUUCCCGGUGUAGAGGUGAAAUUCGUAGAUAUUGGGAGGAACACCAGUGGCGAAGGCGGCGAUCUGGGAAGAUACUGACGCUGAGGUGCGAAAGCGUGGGGAGCAAACAGG
rnacentral:rRNA from 1 species